rnacentral:rRNA from 1 species
AAUAUUGGCAAAUGGGCGAAAGCCUGCUCCAGCCUGGCCGCGUGUGUGAAUUUGGUUNNNGGCUUNCNAAGCACUUUUAGUUGNGANNUAGGGCACUAAGUUAUUACCUUGCUGUUUUGACGUUAUCGACAGAAUAAGCACAGGCUAACUUCGUGCAAGCCGCCGAGGUAAUACGAAGGGCGCAAACGUUAAUCGGAAUUACUGGGCAUAAAGCGCGCGUAGGUAGUUUGUUAAGUUGAAAGUGAAAGCCACGGGCUCAACCUGGGAACUGCUUUCAAAACUGGCAAGCUAGAGUAUGGCAGAGGGUGGUGGAAUUUCCUGUGUAGCGAUGAAAUGCGUAGAUAUAAGAAGGAACACCAGUGGCGAAGGCGACCACCUGGUCUAAUACUGACACUGAGGUGCGAAAGCGUGGUGAGCAAAC